UACGUAGGGGGCUAGCGUUGUCCGGAAUCAUUGGGCGUAAAGAGCGUGUAGGCGGCUCGGUAAGUCCGCUGUGAAAGUCCAGGGCUCAACCCUGGAAUGCCAGUGGAAACUGUCGAGCUAGAGUCCGGAAGAGGCGAGUGGAAUUCCUGGUGUAGCGGUGAAAUGCGCAGAUAUCAGGAGGAACACCAAUGGCGAAGGCAUGCUCGCUGGGACGGUACUGACGCUGAGACGCGAAAGCGUGGGGAGCAAACAGG
rnacentral:rRNA from 1 species